rnacentral:rRNA from 1 species
UAGUCAUAUGCUUGUCUCAAAGACUAAGCCAUGCAUGUCUAAGUAUAAGCGAUUUAUAGUGAAACUGCGAAUGGCUCAUUAAAACAGUUAUAGUUUAUUUGAUAAUCGAAUUUUACAUGGAUAACCGUGGUAAUUCUAGAGCUAAUACAUGCUGUUAAGCCUGACUUUUUGGAAGGGCUGUAUUUAUUAGAUACAAAUCAAUAUUCCUUCGGGUCUAUUGUGAUGAUUCAAUAUAACUGAUCGAAUCGCAUGGUCUCGCACCGCGAUAAAUCAUUCAAGUUUCUGCCCCAUCAGCUUUCGAUGGUAGUGUAUUGGACUACCAUGGCUUUCACGGGUAACGGAGGAUUAGGGUUCGAUUCCGGAGAGGGAGCCUGAGAAAUGGCUACCACAUCUAAGGAAGGCAGCAGGCGCGUAAAUUACCCAAUCCUGACUCAGGGAGGUAGUGACAAGAAAUAACAGACCGGAGCCUACGGUUCCGGGAUUGCAAUGAGUACAAUUUAGACUCCUUAACAAGUAACAAUU